CCGAGUUAUACAACUCAUCAACCCUGUGAACAUACCUUAAACGUUGCCUCGGCGGGAACAGACGGCCCCUGUAACAACGGGCCGCCCCCCCGCCAGAGGACCCCCUAACUCUGUUUCUAUAAUGUUUUCUUCUGAGGUAAACAAGCAAAUAAAUUA
rnacentral:misc_RNA from 1 species